rnacentral:siRNA from 1 species
CCUCCAUUCAUAGCCUGUGUG